rnacentral:lncRNA from 1 species
AGUCGUAGCGGUGUAGUUGUACAUGGGUCGUCGUGGACAUCGUGUAAGUAGUGGUACACGGGUCUUCGGCGACGGUAGAUGUACACGCUCUGUAGAUGUUCAGGGUCAUCGAGGACGUCAUGGAAUUUGUGGUACACGUGUCGUCGAGGAAGUAGUCGUACACAGUUGGAGAGGUGCUUGGCGAAUCCAUGAUCUUCGGAGGUCG